CAUGGGAACUCCCCAAUUUAGAGCUGCAAUGGCCUGUAUUCGCGAGUUAAACUCUAGAGGCUAGUGAGGAGACGAUGGCAUGGAGGCAAAUAAUCUUCAAAGCGAGAGCGAUUUCCAUCUCCCCACAUCCGCAUCCAACACCUGGGUUCUCUAGAUUCUUCUCCAAAGCAUCUCUUUAUGUAGAAAAGGUUGGCAUACCAGAGUUUUUAAAUGGAAUAGGGAAAGGGGUUGAGUCCCACGUGGCUAAGCUUGAAUCUGAGAUUGGUGACUUUCAGAAGCUGCUCGUCACUCGCACUCUCAAGCUCAAGAAACUUGGCAUUCCAUGCCAGCAGAGGAAGCUGAUAUUGAAAUAUGCCCACAAGUAUCGGCUGGGACUCUGGAGGCCUCGAGCUAAGCCUUUGAAAUCGUAAUUAGUUUCUUAGUAACUAGUCAUUUAAGGAUUUAAGAGCAAGAUUGUUGUCUACUGGAGAACAUGAUAGCUGGACAUUUACACAUGAAACUGUUUUUGUCUUGAAGAGUUUUAGCAUCUAAAUAGUGACUUCUGAACAGCGAAACAAAAAAUUGUUCUAGCUGAGCAGGAGGCCUUGUUAUGGAUUUGGAUUCCACCUUUCUGUUUGAAGCACAUAUGAUUGUAAUGUUAUCAACCGGUAAAUGUAAGCUAAAGAAUAUCAGCAGUCUUUUCUAAUAUUAUGUUGAAUCCAUGUUCUUCCCCCUAUAAGAGGGGAGGCACUCAUC